CCUACGGGAGGCAGCAGUGAGGAAUAUUGGUCAAUGGCCGCGAGGCUGAACCAGCCAAGUAGCGUGAGGGAUUACGGCCCUACGGGUCUUAAACCUCUUUUGUGAGGGAGCAAAGUGCGGGACGCGUCCCGCAUUGCGAGUACCUUUCGAAUAAGCAUCGGCUAACUCCGUGCCAGCAGCCGCG
rnacentral:rRNA from 1 species